rnacentral:rRNA from 1 species
UGGGGAAUAUUGGACAAUGGGCGCAAGCCUGAUCCAGCCAUGCCGCGUGAGUGAUGAAGGCCCUAGGGUUGUAAAGCUCUUUCACCGGUGAAGAUAAUGACGGUAACCGGAGAAGAAGCCCCGGCUAACUUCGUGCCAGCAGCCGCGGUAAUACGAAGGGGGCUAGCGUUGUUCGGAUUUACUGGGCGUAAAGCGCACGUAGGCGGACUAUUAAGUCAGGGGUGAAAUCCCGGGGCUCAACCCCGGAACUGCCUUUGAUACUGGUAGUCUUGAGUUCGAGAGAGGUGAGUGGAAUUCCGAGUGUAGAGGUGAAAUUCGUAGAUAUUCGGAGGAACACCAGUGGCGAAGGCUGCUCACUGGCUCGAUACUGACGCUGAGGUGCGAAAGCGUGGGGAGCAAACAGG